rnacentral:misc_RNA from 1 species
GAAAUGCGAUACGUAGUGUGAAUUGCAGAAUUCAGUGAAUCAUCGAAUCUUUGAACGCACAUUGCGCCCUUUGGUAUUCCAAAGGGCAUGCCUGUUCGAGCGUCAUUUGUACCCUCAAGCUUUGCUUGGUGUUGGGCGUUUUUUGUCUUUGGUUGCCAAAGACUCGCCUUAAAAGGAUUGGCAGCCGGCCUACUGGUUUCGCAGCGCAGCACAUUUUUGCGCUUGCAAUCAGCAAAAGAGGACGGCAAUCCAUCAAGACUCCUUCUCACGUUUGGCCUCGGAUCAGGUAGGGAUACCCGCUGAACUUAAGC